GGAGCCGUAGGGAAACCGAGUCUUAAUAGGGCGUUUAGUUCGUAGGAUUAGACCCGAAGCUUGGUGAUCUAGCCAUGAGCAGGUUGAAGGCGGGGUAACACCCGCUGGAGGACCGAACCCACCUAUGUUGAAAAAUGGGGGGAUGACUUGUGGCUAGGGGUGAAAGGCCAAUCAAACCAAGUAAUAGCUGGUUCUCCGCUA
rnacentral:rRNA from 1 species